rnacentral:ncRNA from 2 species
GGUCAUGAGUGUCAGCCUCGCAGGCCCCGGCCGGCUGACCGGCAACCCUCCCACCGCGGCGGGGUGCCCCGGGUGACGACCUGGCCGCGCGCCGACCGGAGCGCGGCAAGCGCGAUCA